rnacentral:rRNA from 1 species
GACGAACGCUGGCGGCGUGCCUAAUACAUGCAAGUCGAACGAGAGCGACCGGUGCUUGCACUGGUCAAUCUAGUGGCGAACGGGUGAGUAACACGUGGGUAACCUGCCCAUCAGAGGGGGAUAACAUCCGGAAACGGAUGCUAAAACCGCAUAGGUCCUCGAGCCGCAUGGCUUGAAGAGGAAAAGAGGCGCAAGCUUCUGCUGAUGGAUGGACCCGCGGUGCAUUAGCUAGUUGGUGAGGUAACGGCUCACCAAGGCCGUGAUGCAUAGCCGACCUGAGAGGGUGAUCGGCCACAUUGGGACUGAGACACGGCCCAAACUCCUACGGGAGGCAGCAGUAGGGAAUCUUCCGCAAUGGACGCAAGUCUGACGGAGCAACGCCGCGUGAGUGAAGAAGGUUUUCGGAUCGUAAAACUCUGUUGUUAGAGAAGAACAAGUGCUAGAGUAACUGUUAGCGCCUUGACGGUAUCUAACCAGAAAGCCACGGCUAACUACGUG